rnacentral:rRNA from 1 species
GACGAACGCUGGCGGCGUGCUUAACACAUGCAAGUCGAACGGAAAGGCCCUGCUUUUGUGGGGUGCUCGAGUGGCGAACGGGUGAGUAACACGUGAGUAACCUGCCCUUGACUUUGGGAUAACUUCAGGAAACUGGGGCUAAUACCGGAUAGGAGCUCCUGCUGCAUGGUGGGGGUUGGAAAGUUUCGGCGGUUGGGGAUGGACUCGCGGCUUAUCAGCUUGUUGGUGGGGUAGUGGCUUACCAAGGCUUUGACGGGUAGCCGGCCUGAGAGGGUGACCGGCGACAUUGGGACUGAGAGACGGACCAGACGGCAACGGGACGCAGCAGGGGGGAGUCUUGCACAAUGGGCGGAAGCCUGAUGCAGAAACGCCGCGUGCGGGAUGACGGCCUUCGGGUUGUAAACAGCUUUCGACUGUGACGAAGCGUGAGUGACGGUAAUGAGUAAAGAAGCACCGGCUAACUACGUG